rnacentral:rRNA from 1 species
ACGAACGCUGGCGGCGUGCUUAACCCAUGCAAGUCGAACGGAAAGGCCUCUUUCGGGGGGUACUCGAGUGGCGAACGGGUGAGUAACACGUGAGUAACCUGCCCUUGACUUUGGGAUAACUUCAGGAAACUGGGGCUAAUACCGGAUAGGAGCUCCUGCUGCAUGGUGGGGGUUGGAAAGUUUCGGCGGUUGGGGAUGGACUCGCGGCUUAUCAGCUUGUUGGUGGGGUAGUGGCUUACCAAGGCUUUGACGGGUAGCCGGCCUGGGAGGGUGACCGGCCACAUUUGGACUGAGAUACGGCCCAGACUCCUACGGGAGGCAGCAGUGGGGAAUAUUGCACAAUGGGUGGAAGCCUGAUGCAGCAACGCCGUGUGCGGGAUGACGGCCUUCGGGUUGUAAACCGCUUUCGCUCAUGACGAAGCUUUGUGUGACGGUAGUGGGUAAAGAAGCACCGGCUAACUACGUG